UUGGAGGGCAAGUCUGGUGCCAGCAGCCGCGGUAAUUCCAGCUCCAAUAGCGUAUAUUAAAGUUGUUGCAGUUAAAAAGCUCGUAGUUGAAUUUCGGGGUUCUACCGUUGGUCGGGCCUUGUCUGUACUGGUGUGUAGAAUUUCUACCUUCUGGGGAACCAUCAUGCUAUUAAUUUAGCGUGGUGGGAAACCAGGACCUUUACCUUGAAAAAAUUAGUGUGUUCAAAGCAGGCUUAUGUCUGAAUACAUUAGCGUGGAAUAAUAGAAUAGGACGGUGGUCCUGUUUUGUUGGUUUCUGAAUCACCGUAAUGAUUAAUAGGGAUAGUUGGGGGCAUUAGUAUUCAAUUGUCAGAGGUGAAAUUCUUGGAUUUAUUGAAGACUAACUUCUGCGAAAGCAUUUGCCAAGGAUGUUUUCAUUAAUCAAGAACGAAAGUUAGGGGAUCGAAGACGAUCAGAUACCGUCGUAGUCUUAACCAUAAACUAUGCCGACUAGGGAUCGGACGAUGUUAAUUUUUCUUGACUCGUUCGGCGCCUUACGGGAAAC
rnacentral:rRNA from 1 species